rnacentral:rRNA from 1 species
GACAACGGCCUUCACAAUAAAUUUUCCCAUUACGCGAGGGCCAAAGCACGAUAGGCGAAUUCUUUCUCCAUCAAUUGAAGAUAAAGUUUCGAUUGGAGGCCAACUGCCGCCUGAAAGUGAAAACGAAGCGGUUUCGGUCUCGUUAAACAGCUCCUGUUUGUUAAAGAAAGACAUACUUUUGAAGAGUAAUCUGUUCCAUGGUUUGACCGGUAAUUUAAACAAGAAAAGCCUACGGCUAUAUUUAUGUGCAAGCAGCCCGCCGAUAAUAAGUAGGUUGGCAAGCGUUGUCCGGAUUUUAUUGGGCGUAAAGCGAGCGCAGGCGGUUUUUAAGUCUGAUGUGAAAGCUUUCGGCUUAACCGGAGAAGUGCAUCGGAAACUGGGAGACUUGAGUGCAGAAGAGGACAGUGGAACUCCAUGUGUAGCGGUGGAAUGCGUAGAUAUAUGGAAGAACACCAGUGGCGAAGGCGGCUGUUUAGUCUGUAACUGACGCUGAGGCUCGAAAGCAUGGGUAGCGAACAGGAUUAGAUACCCUGGUAGUCCAUGCCGUAAACGAUGAGUGCUAAGUGUUGGAGGGUUUCCGCCCUUCAGUGCUGCAGCUAACGCAUUUAAGCACUCCGCCUGGGGAGUACGACCGCAAGGUUGAAACUCAAAGGAAUUGACGGGGGCCCGCACAAGCGGUGGAGCAUGUGGUUUAAUUCGAAGCUACGCGAAGAACCUUACCAGGUCUUGACAUCUUCUGCCAAUCUUAGAGAUAAGACGUUCCCUUCGGGGACAGAAUGACAGGUGGUGCAUGGUUGUCGUCAGCUCGUGUCGUGAGAUGUUGGGUUAAGUCCCGCAACGAGCGCAACCCUUAUUAUCAGUUGCCAGCAUUCAGUUGGGCACUCUGGUGAGACUGCCGGUGACAAACCGGAGGAAGGUGGGGAUGACGUCAAAUCAUCAUGCCCCUUAUGACCUGGGCUACACACGUGCUACAAUGGACGGUACAACGAGUCGCGAAGUCGUGAGGCUAAGCUAAUCUCUUAAAGCCGUUCUCAGUUCGGAUUGUAGGCUGCAACUCGCCUACAUGAAGUUGGAAUCGCUAGUAAUCGCGGAUCAGCAUGCCGCGGUGAAUACGUUCCCGGGCCUUGUACACACCGCCCGUCACACCAUGAGAGUUUGUAACACCCAAACCCCGGUGAGAUAACCUUCGGGACUCAGCCCCCCCUAAGGGGGUAA